rnacentral:rRNA from 1 species
AACGAACGCUGGCGGCAUGCCUAACACAUGCAAGUCGAACGAGACCUUCGGGUCUAGUGGCGCACGGGUGCGUAACGCGUGGGAACCUGCCCUUAGGUUCGGAAUAACUCCCCGAAAGGGGUGCUAAUACCGGAUAAUGUCUUCGGACCAAAGAUUUAUCGCCUUUGGAUGGGCCCGCGUUGGAUUAGCUAGUUGGUAGGGUAAAAGCCUACCAAGGCGACGAUCCAUAGCUGGUCUGAGAGGAUGAUCAGCCACACUGGGACUGAGACACGGCCCAGACUCCUACGGGAGGCAGCAGUGGGGAAUAUUGGACGAGGGGCGAAAGCCUGAUCCAGCAAUGCCGCGUGAGUGAUGAAGGCCUUAGGGUUGUAAAGCUCUUUUAGCCGGGAUGAUAAUGACAGUACCGGGAGAAUAAGCACCGGCUAACUACGUG